GUUGAGCUUUUGUUACCUAGUAACUACACAAGCCAGGAAGUACCAAUGACCGGAUUUGGGCUCUAUCCCAAUUCAGGGUCUGCAGCCUUAAAGGCCACAUUUUAAGGACGAUUAUGUCACAGCGACACGACGAAGGCUGUCCCAAUUCAAAGGCUGCUCCAAAUGCGGCCCUCAAAUGCGUCCUUAAUUUCCCUGAAUUUUAAGGAUGGGUCGGUGUAGCCUUCAUGGCCCAACAUAUCCCAGAUUUCAUAGCGCGGCCGUGGUGUGGAUAAUUUUGCCGAAAAAAACGGCGGAAGCGGAGCCGCCAAAGAGUAAACUUUCAGAACUUAUCACACAUUUGAUUUCCAUGUGUGACAACUGCAA